AUAAAACCAAAUUGUAGCCUGACCACCUCAGGCACAUGUUGUCAGGAUCCCCUGGGGCUGUGUCAUGGGCCAGGGUCACUCGUAUUUGGCUCAGAAUGAAUAUUUGACUGAACAGUCAAAUAUUUUACAGAGUUUUUUUGUUGACAAUAAUAAACUUGACACAAGAGCUUUCACAAAUACAGACCCAAAGAAUCAGGACAACUGUAUAUUUUUAUGCUAAGUCUGAUGAAGUGGACAGUAGUGCAGAAGUAUAAUUAGACAAACAACAUAAGAUCUAAUUGUAAUAAACUAGGAGGAACUUAGCGAGGCCUGUGUGUUCAGAUUCUUUCCUGUGUCUCAGUGUCUUCAGAGAUAACAAGGUUCCUUUUCUCCAGGUAUAGGGAGAGUACCUCUGGAAUGACCUACUUUAGAGGAAGAUCAGAGAAGUCUUCUAUGGUUACACCAAGGGAGAGAGGAUGGGGAGUCAGAGAAACUUUGCUGCUUCUGCUCUUUUCUCAAAUGCCAAGUCCAAGCACUGCUAGAACAGAUUGUCUCCUAUGGUGUAAACCCAAUCGACAUUUGAUUCACCAGCUGGCAGCCACCCAACCCUAUCUGGACAAGCAGGUCUCACUAAAUGAAGGACUUCAAUUUUUUUUUUUUUUUACAGUGUUUAUCAGCUGUUUUCAAGCUGUUGAAAUAAACUUGGCAAUACCAUUCAAAGUAAUCUCUCCCUCCUCUUCCCCACCACCAUUGUCCUUUGAAACACAGCUUCCAUUCUGUGUUGAGAUUUAUUUAUCUUCCAGCCCUGAUGCCUAUGAGGCCUAUGGAAGUUAUCAAUCAAACCAAAUUUAUGAAGUUCUUUUGUGGAAGCACUGCAAGCCACUGGACAAAAAUCAAUGGAGAAAUAAAUAAUGGGGAAACAAAUGUUUAAGCUCAAUUAAAUUAAGCAGUUUAUAGUUUCACCUCAAAGUGUAAGCAUAGUUAGAGAAACGGCUUAGUAGGAAUGCAGCCAGUCUACUGACUUGUUUUCAAGUUGCCUGCUCUGAGAAUCUAGUUUCAGUGUGUCAGAACUAACAACAGCAAUAGCUAGUUUAACGGACGAGAGAAAUUAGAUUAAAAAAAGAAAAGAACUUCUGCCUCCACGUUCACAUUCUGGGAGAAAUGAAGAAUUGACUUAAGGAUUGACUAUUUUGUUGAGUAAAAGUCAUUAGGGGUUUUUAGAUGUAUACAGAUACACCAGGAGCUUAAUCUCAAUUAAGACCAAAUUGUUUUGUACAAUAAAGAAACCAAAUUUGCUCUGAGGCAGCUGGGGAAACAUUAAAAGGGUAAUGGUUGAAAAGAAGCCUAGGAAAAUGGGAGCAAAAAAGUCCAUGGAAAAAGGUAACAGAGACAAAUCCCUGCUACCAGUGAGACCCGGGAAUUUUUAAGAAAAGUGAUGUCAUGUAUUGAAAUUCUGCUGUAUUGCUGGGUUCCCCGUAUGUUACUCCCAUCAUGUGUACAUGUCUGUUAGACACAGCAGUAUUAAGGGAAAGAUGGUCUGAGGAGUGAGAGGAGUGUCCUGUGUGAAGCUUUCUAGAAAUUACAGCAAGGACACCAAUUGUCAGGAGACAACAGAGCAGCAAGCUGUGGCAUGGGCAAGCUCAGGAAUGGACAUAACUCAAACCCUACCUUCCCCAAAUCUACCAGAGUCUAGAUCCAACCCUUAAAUGAGCAGGGAUUUCCAGGUGGCAGCUCUGUGGGUUCCAACACUCUGUGUGAAGCAACUACUCUGUGUCAUGUAGUUUAUAUCAUCACUUCAAGGUAAGUAUUAUUAUGGUUCUCUAUGUGGGGAUGAGAAAACAGAGCCAUGAAGAGAGAAUUAAGUAACUAAUCCAAGGUCACUUGGCAAUUAACUGACAGAAGGAGCAGAGAAUCAGAGCCCAGGAAGGUCUGACUCUCAUCUUGCAUCCAUUCACCAGGCCUCUCUCCCUCUCCCUAACACCCAUGAAUGUUCAGGGAUUCCUCUACGCCUGACUUAGUGCCAUUUGGAACUUACUGUCUAAUGGCAGAGCCACCACAUGCAGAGUAUAAAGUCAUCAUUCCACCUUGCUUUAGCAAAUGAAAAUGUCCCUAUGUGUCACCAGCAUCCAGUGACCAGUCUGUAAAUCUAUGAGGAUAGGGUCGUGUCCCUUUUCUAUCCCUGUCUCCGCAUCAGCUAUUUUCCCCAUGACAAAAGCUGUGCUCCAAAUUACUUAUUGAAUAAAAGACUAGCACAUAAAGGAAAAGUUUAAUCUCAUCAUUUUAAACUGAAUAUCCAUGCCUAAUCUUCUUUCCUUGAUCAGCUCUAGAAGAGGAAUUUCACAUUAAAUGUAACUGAUAAAGUUCACUUUAAAAUAGGCUUUUCUUGACUUAAAAUAU
rnacentral:lncRNA from 1 species